rnacentral:rRNA from 1 species
AUGCCGCCGCCCAUUGCUUUUACCCUUUCCCCAUUCUUCCUCUUCUCCGGCGACCUAGUGCAGAUGUCCACCUCCUCCGCCAAGCACUCAAAAUGGCGUCGGUAUGGUCCUGUGCCACUCACAAGGUGCCCUGACUGCCCAUGCCCAGAGCCUCUGAAACGGUGGGUCAGUAGGACUGAUGAGAAUGGAAAUCUUGGGCGGGAAUUUGUGAAGUGCUUGAGCAAAACAAUGGCAGGAAGGGAUGACAAGAGGGGGCAUUUAGGUUUGUCAGGGCAUAGGAUGCGAUAUGUGCGCCAUGCCAAGUUCAUGUAA